rnacentral:rRNA from 1 species
GACGAACGCUGGCGGCGUGCCUAAUACAUGCAAGUAGAACGCUGAAGAGAGGAGCUUGCUCUUCUUGGAUGAGUUGCGAACGGGUGAGUAACGCGUAGGUAACCUGCCCUGUAGCGGGGGAUAACUAUUGGAAACGAUAGCUAAUACCGCAUAACAAUGGAUGACACAUGUCAUUUAUUUGAAAGGGGCAAUUGCUCCACUACAAGAUGGACCUGCGUUGUAUUAGCUAGUAGGUGAGGUAACGGCUCACCUAGGCGACGAUACAUAGCCGACCUGAGAGGGUGAUCGGCCACACUGGGACUGAGACACGGCCCAGACUCCUACGGGAGGCAGCAGUAGGGAAUCUUCGGCAAUGGGGGCAACCCUGACCGAGCAACGCCGCGUGAGUGAAGAAGGUUUUCGGAUCGUAAAGCUCUGUUGUAAGUCAAGAACGAGUGUGAGAGUGGAAAGUUCACACUGUGACGGUAGCUUACCAGAAAGGGACGGCUAACUACGUGCCAGCAGCCGCGGUAAUACGUAGGUCCCGAGCGUUGUCCGGAUUUAUUGGGCGUAAAGCGAGCGCAGGCGGUUUGAUAAGUCUGAAGUUAAAGGCUGUGGCUCAACCAUAGUUCGCUUUGGAAACUGUCAAACUUGAGUGCAGAAGGGGAGAGUGGAAUUCCAUGUGUAGCGGUGAAAUGCGUAGAUAUAUGGAGGAACACCGGUGGCGAAAGCGGCUCUCUGGUCUGUAACUGACGCUGAGGCUCGAAAGCGUGGGGAGCGAACAGG